rnacentral:rRNA from 1 species
AGAGUUUGAUCAUGGCUCAGGAUAAACGCUGGCGGCGUGCCUAAUCAAUGCGAGUCGUGCGGUCUUUCGGGACAGCGGCGUCCGGGUGAGUAACGCGUAGCUAACCUGCCCACGUGUGGGGGAUACCCGCCAGAAAUGGCGGCUAAUACCGCAUAGCUUGACUGGGGGCGACCCCGGGCAAGAAAGCCUUUGGGCGCACAUGGAGGGGGCUGCGUCCGAUUGGCUAGUCGGUGGGGUAACGGCCUACCGAGGCGACGAUCGGUAGCUGGUCUGAGAGGAUGAUCAGCCACACUGGGACUGAGACAUGGUCCAGAGCUCUACGGGGUUUAGCAUGAAGGGAUAUUGCGCAAUGGGCGAAAGCCUGACGCAGCAACGCCGCGUGUGGGACGACGCCUUUCGGGGUGUAAACCACUUUUCCCAGGGAAGAAGAAUGUGACGGUACCUGGGGAAGAAGCCUUGGCUAAGUACGUGCCAGCCGCCGCGGUAAUUC